CCUACGGGAGGCAGCAGUGGGGAAUAUUGGACAAUGGGGGCAACCCUGAUCCAGCCAUGCCGCGUGUGUGAAGAAGGCCCUCGGGUUGUAAAGCACUUUCAGUGAGGAAGAACGCCUGGUGGUUAAUACCCAUCAGGAAAGACAUCACUCACAGAAGAAGCACCGGCUAACUCCGUGCCAGCAGCCGCGGUAAUACGGAGGGUGCGAGCGUUAAUCGGAAUUACUGGGCGUAAAGCGCGCGUAGGUGGCUUGAUAAGCCGGUUGUGAAAGCCCCGGGCUCAACCUGGGAACGGCAUCCGGAACUGUCAAGCUAGAGUGCAGGAGAGGAAGGUAGAAUUCCCGGUGUAGCGGUGAAAUGCGUAGAGAUCGGGAGGAAUACCAGUGGCGAAGGUGGCCUUCUGGACUGACACUGACACUGAGGUGCGAAAGCGUGGGUAGCAAACAGGAUUAGAUACCCGAGUAGUC
rnacentral:rRNA from 1 species